rnacentral:lncRNA from 1 species
UUCACACACUGUACAUCAGAGCAGAGCAUCGUCUUUGAAUAUCGUAAAUUAGAGACCACACGCCAGAAGGGAAAAUAACCCACCUGUGGUGUACUGAGGAGAUGCAAAGGAUACAAAAUUCGCUGCACUGGAUUUUGCUAUUGAACAAGGGAGACAUUUCGAUGUGGAUCUAUGCUGACAAGUGUUUUCUUUCCUGGUGUCGACAGCAGAAAAGGGACAUUUGAGGCAGAGACAGCCCGGGACUACACAAUAAAUCUUCCUGAGAGUGAGCAUAUACCCCAACUGCAUGAACCAAGUACCUGGGUCUUGCCCUCCCAGCAGCAGAAGAGUCUGUUGCUCUUCCUGAAGGGUCAGCCCCAGAUCCUAGGGGUGGCUGAGAUCCUGAUUGGGCUGGUAAUGCUGUGCCUGGGCGUAACCAUCAGUCCUUUUCCACAUGACUAUGAAGGUGGACACUCCAUGACCACUAAAACGGGCUAUCACCUGUGGGGAUCCCUCUCUGUGAGUAUUCGUGGUUGU